rnacentral:rRNA from 1 species
GUACACAAAAAUGCACAUGCUGUGAGCUCGAUGAGUAGGGCGGGACACGUGGUAUCCUGUCUGAAUAUGGGGGGACCAUCCUCCAAGGCUAAAUACUCCUGACUGACCGAUAGUGAACCAGUACCGUGAGGGAAAGGCGAAAAGAACCCCGGCGAGGGGAGUGAAAAAGAACCUGAAACCGUGUACGUACAAGCAGUGGGAGCACAGAGCAAUCUGUGUGACUGCGUACCUUUUGUAUAAUGGGUCAGCGACUUAUAUUCUGUAGCAAGGUUAACCGAAUAGGGGAGCCGAAGGGAAACCGAGUCUUAACUGGGCGUUAAGUUGCAGGGUAUAGACCCGAAACCCGGUGAUCUAGCCAUGGGCAGGUUGAAGGUUGGGUAACACUAACUGGAGGACCGAACCGACUAAUGUUGAAAAAUUAGCGGAUGACUUGUGGCUGGGGGUGAAAGGCCAAUCAAACCGGGAGAUAGCUGGUUCUCCCCGAAAGCUAUUUAGGUAGCGCCUCGUGAAUUCAUCUCCGGGGGUAGAGCACUGUUUCGGCAAGGGGGUCAUCCCGACUUACCAACCCGAUGCAAACUGCGAAUACCGGAGAAUGUUAUCACGGGAGACACACGGCGGGUGCUAACGUCCGUCG